UCCAAUGAGAUGGCCGGAUUCUUGUAGGUGCGCCACCUUGUCUCCUUAAUAACCACUAGUUACGUAUUCACCAGGUACUAGUAAGUAUAGUACGUGGACACAAAUUUAUGGUGUAGUCCCCAGCUAGUCUGUCUGAUUUAUUUUUGUGUCUCAAAUCCUAGCUCGUCGCACGGUGCACACCAAUCUUAUUGAUUUCUCAAUGCUAUGUGUCGUGUGUUGAAAUAGGUUCGAUUCUCCCAGCUAUUCUAACAGUACUGCGCACGAGAGAAUUAUCAGCUAGUCUGGUUGAUUUCUAAAUCUAUUUUGGCCCAGUUUAGCAUAUUUCAAGUAGUAGAUUUGGAUCAUCAUUCAGAGAUGACUCGUUAUAGAACUACCUACUUUACAGUAACAACACUACAUUAUACAUGAUAAUCAUACCAUUGAUACAAAUGCAGGUUAAUGGAGCAUGGGUUGUUAUCUCCAGAGACAGCAAAGAAAGCUUGUGACAAGAUAACAUAAUAAACCACACAGUGUGGAGUAUGGUGCAAAUGCCAAGGGAAGAGUCGAUUACAAUGAAGACGAGGAUGACGGUAAUGACUUUAUCAAUAAACUCAACAAUGAUCUCAGAUAUCUAAUUAAGCUUUAUUUUUAGCUCACUUGCAACAACAAUGAAUCUGUUGUUCUCACUAUAUAUGUGUGUAUUGGAGUUCAUGCAGAAAAUAAACAAAUACCAUUUUGUCAUGAUUGUGACCAUAUUAUUUCCAUAUACAUAUUGAUAAUGCUCUUGGUUGGUCUUUAGGGGCCCCAACUAUGGUCAUCGAGGCAGAGUAAUGCUUGUUUUUGAAGAAAACCGAUUGUUA
rnacentral:lncRNA from 1 species